GCUUUGGAAAGCAGUGCCAGAUAGUUGAUUGUUCAAGUUUAUUCAAGAUGGCUGUUUCAAAUCUUAUGUUUUUGGUGUUCUUGUUUUACAAAUUGGUGCUCAAUGGAUUUGCCUCUCCAAUUGGGUAUCCGUUAUACCAGACUGCUAGUAAGCAAGUGCACUUGGAGAAGAAAGUGAGUAUUGUGACCGUGCAUCGUUGUACACCAGUUCUUGACUCUUGUUUUCUAGAUGGCCCUUGUCCUGUCCUUAUGCAAGCCAAAAUCCAAACCCGCCAGUGGUAGCAAAGUGUAACUUGAAUGUUCUGCUGUCUUUGCAGAAUGCAUCUGGGCUAGUUAUCCAAAAGGGAAUCGACGUGAGAAAUCUGCCUGCAGAGUCCAGCCCUCUGCCUGCUCAGGAGACCAGCCCCAGACUGCCAAAGAGUCCAGCUCUAUCCCAGCUGGAAAAUCUAGCUCUCACCCAGUUGUGGAG